AUGGGCAGCCCUUCCUCUCCCGCUCUGGAUGAAGCUCACUGUCUCUGGCCUCUGUGCACACACACCUGCUGCUGGGAGGCCGAGCAGCGCAUCUGUAAAGGCAAACCUCGACAGGUGAAGGCCCUUACCCCUAGCAGGGCCUCAGUAACAGCCUCUGAAGAGAAUAGGUUUCCAGCCAUCACUCUGGUUGAUGCAUCAGAGUGGCCUGAUGAUGGGUCACCCUUUGAGGUCUUACCUCUUAAACGUGAAUAUGAGUUCUCAGAAGCCGCUGCCAGCACUCUCAUCAGCCAGGUGGCUUUACCUAAAGGAGUAAGAAGACAAGAAAAUGUCCAGAUUUCCAAUUCCAGCUCAGCCACGCCUCCUCAUCUGGAGACACACAGAGAGAAAAAGACAGUCAAGCUAAGGACUGUCAACAUCAGACGCUUGCCCAGUUGCACCAGUACAUCCCACUCCCCAAAGCCUGGGUUCCUGGGUCUUGCUAUGUUCCACUUCAUGACUACCAGCACAGUGUUAAGUCUCCUAGACUGGCUGUCAAGGAACUGGUUUUCCUCCCCUCUGCUGAAGUGUACACAUCUGUCGAAAAAAAGAAAAAUCUCAAACAGGACAAGCCAAGGAAGAGGGUUCUUCUGA
rnacentral:lncRNA from 15 species